rnacentral:rRNA from 1 species
UACGAAGGGAGCUAGCGUUGUUCGGAAUCACUGGGCGUAAAGCGCACGUAGGCGGAUGUGUCAGUCAGGGGUGAAAUCCCGGAGCUCAACUUCGGAACUGCCUUUGAUACAGCACAUCUGGAGUCCGGAAGAGGUGGGUGGAAUUCCUAGUGUAGAGGUGAAAUUCGUAGAUAUUAGGAAGAACACCAGUGGCGAAGGCGACUCACUGGACAUGUAUUGACGCUGAGGUGCGAAAGCGUGGGGAGCAAACAGG